rnacentral:rRNA from 3 species
UUUGACCUCGGAUCAGGUAGGAAUACCCGCU